rnacentral:misc_RNA from 1 species
GUGGCGGUGGGUCCACUUGACUCCACUUCCUGGGAAAGGAAGGACGGAAGGAAGGUGUGUACACCUACCAUCGGUUACGCGGUGUCUGGAUACGCUUCUCUAUGUAUGUACGUGUGUCCCUUACGUAUAGAAGAAAUCAGCGUUCACGACGUAAGCAGUUAAGAGCAUAGAGUCCCAAGGAAUCGGAUUACGAGAAGGCAAGGGAGAAAUGGGACUUCCACUCCGUUGCCCGUGAAUAGUUCCAAAGGCGAGGGCCUGAGAGUCUCUUCUGAGACUCGAUGAAAAAACAACAAAGCCUCUGGAGCUCACAAUACUCAGCCUCGGGCCCCGUUUCUCUAUUUGCGUUUACAAUAAGGAACAGAGGAUCCACGGAACUCGCUCUCAUGCGAGGAACAAAUCAGUCACUUCAAAUACUUUAUUCUCAGACGUGGUAUGUCGCAACACAUUUGCCUGAAUGAAGAGAAGGACUUCACAAGAUUUAAUAAGU